CACAAACCUCCCUCCUCACCAAUUUGAAAAGGAUCUUGGUGAACAGACUGGGCAAAGCGAGAGCCCUCUUUCUACGUGCCUUAGGGUGGUGAUAGGGCAGCCAAAGACCAAGUGCUUCAGCUGAGGGAUACAGAUUAGAGAUGAGGACCUAACUCCAAAGAGUAACUCUUUGCUGAAGUGACUUCACAGAGGGAAGUAAGCAGUAAUUCAACUCAGCCUUAGAUAGAAAGCUUUUCUAUGAAUAAUGGGAAAUAAAGUUAAAGGAAAUGAUGCAAAUAAAGCAAGAAAAAAAUACUGAUGAUCAGAAAAAAGAAAAGUAUUUGAGGUCUGAAAGAUCCUCAAAAUAGAGAAGAGCCAAUGACUUCAUACACCGAAUCGGCUAAAUCCUGUCUCACAUUUUCACUGUAGCCAGAAGAGCCACUCUGGUCAAGUAGAAACCCUGAAGUUUGCCGUCAUUUCAUCCAGGGUCUGCAGAUGUGCACUUAGAGUAUCUAUUCUGAAUGCUUGAUGCUAUGCAGUGUUUGUGCUACAAAGAAGCUGAAGAUACAUGCUCUUUCUGUCAUCAACCUGUCCUAUGGCUGUGACAGGUUCUCAUUUUGUGGCCCAGGAUGAAGUGCAGUGACACAACUGAACCUCACUGCUGACCCCUGAACUCCUGCGCUCAAGUGAUCCUUCCACCGCAGCCUUCUGAGUAGAUGGGACUACAGGCGUGCACCACCAUACCUGGCUAAUUAAAAAAAAUUUUUGUAGAGUCGAGGUCUUGCUAUGUUGCCUAGGUUGGUCUUCCACUCCUGGCCUCAAGUGAUCCUCUCACCACUCAGUAGGCGAGAGCCACUGCACCCAGCUUUCCAUUAUUUUCAAGUAAAGAUGAACCUAUUGAAGCUAAAGGCAUUCUCACAGGACAAGAUACUAAUUAAUAAUUAAUCAUACUUUAAUCAGUAUACUAAAUAGUCUAUGCCUGAAAGCUUCUCAAAGAAUUAAAGCGAACCCUGUGCAAGGUGCUUAUGUGCCAUAGAAAUUUUGUUCAGCAUUCCACUCAAUGACAAAGUUAACAAAUUGCCAUAAAUUAGAGAAACCAAAUAUAUUAGUCUAGAUCUAAUUUACUGUUCUCCCAAUGAUAAGAGCUGCAAACAGGAAGUCCCCUGAUUUUCCCCCCUCAAAUCCUCACAAAUUUGUUUUCUUUUUAUGUAGGCUCAAAUUAAUCUAAUAUGUAUGUAAAAGUUAGGGACUCUCACAAUUUCCUAUCUCAAAGGCACUUCUACAUACUGUUCACUCUUCACAGGUCAGUGACUAUGCAUAUUAGUAAAAUAAUAGCAAUACUGGAAGUUCAUUUUCUAGUAUAAUAUUACCAAUUCUACAUUUCUUGAGUGUAUACUCUGCUUAGCAAUGUGCUGUAUAGAUUUUGAAUAUUAUACAAAGUGGUACCUUCUUGUUCUAUUUACUACAUGAAAUCUUUGACAUUAAUGAAACAUGACACAGUACUGUAUUCUAGUAUGAAAUUUCCUCUACUCCAAUAUACCUGGUAAGACUUAGUGGGGGUCAAAAAGAUCAAAAGAGUGGGAGGAAAGAAUGCCUGAAAGAUUAGGUUUAUCUUUAGAUUUUAGUUCAAAUUCAAUUACUUGGGUUAUGACUUUCAAAGGUCAAUUAUUUUUAGCUAAAUAAGUAGAAAAUUGGUCCUGGUAAGCAGGCAUGUAUCUCCCAGGGGUGAGGAUGGAGGUGGGGAUAAGGAGAAACCAUUCCCUUGCAUUACAGUAAAUGAUACAAUAAUUUCACAUUCAUAUAUAUAAACAGCAUUAGCAUAACACCAUUCUUUGUAGAAAGGGAUGUUAACAUUUAGAAGGUUGUAAUUAUUUUAGGAAUAAUGAAUUUCUAUAAGGCAUCUGUUUUUUCCAAAGUAUUUUGGUUAAAGCCUGAUUUGCGUGAAAACAUAAAUAACCUCUUGCUCCAGACUCAGAGCAUCAGGAAGCUUUAACAGAUGGCCUCAUUUAAAAAUCAUUUGUUAAGAUAUCUCACAUUUAUCCAACACGCUGUCAACGUCUUCCUUUUAUUCAAUCGUGAUUUUACAUAUUUCUGUCAUAAAUAUUUUUUAAUCCUGUGCAUUCAUGGAAAUCACACAAUUUAGUAUUUAUACUUAAUUUGGUUUGGGGGUAACCCUGAUUCUUUUAAACUUAUGCCAUUAACUAAAGUAUUAUAGAAUGAUUAAUUAUAGAAAAAUACAAAGUUUAAUAUUAACUCAUGAAAAUGCAAUCAAAAGCAACAUUUUAAUCAAGGUACAAGUGGAAAAAGCAAAAUAAUUGAAAAAUUAUCUAUUCUGCACCCACCUCUAUUAUUCUUUCCUUCUCCUUUCUUUCAUUCUCAAGAAUCUGGAACAGAGAGUCGAUACUUGCUGUCUCUAUUUCCUUACCUCCCAUUCACUUUUUCUACUUUCAAAGAAAUUGCAAAAGCCAUUAGAUCUUUAACCAACUACAUGUAAUUAAGGUUUUGAGCCCUAUGCCCCUGAAACUUCUUGGUCAAUGGUCACCUAUGAGCCUCAUAUUGCCAAAUACAAUAGACUUCUCUAUCUAUGAGUCAACUGUUGUUUCUAUUUAUUGCUCAAUGCAUUUGGCAUUGUUCAUUAUUCCUUCAAAAUUCUCUCUUCCCUUAAUUUCCAUGAGACCACUCCACAUGAUUCUUCUGCCUUCUUCUCUUCUGAAUCUAAACAUGUUUUCUGAUCUUACAUGUUCUAAUGUCUUCAACUACCAGCUAUAUAACAAUGAUUCCCAAAUAUACAUCUCUGGAUCAUGUAUCUCCUUAGAACAAAUUCACACAUCCAAAUGUUCAAAGGCUAUAUCCACCUAUAUGUCCUAUUCUACAUGUCCCAAACUGCAUCUUUUCCUAUGGUCCCUAUUUUAAUGAAAGACACCAACCUCAUCUAGUCACCCAAAUCAGAUAUUUGGGAGCAAGUUUAGACUCCUCCUUUUCUCUUACUAAAUGACUAAGUUCAGUUGAUUUUAUCUCAUGUCUAAUCAUUAUGAUGAUGGUGAUGGUGAUGAUGAUGAUCACCUGGCCUCUGCAACAGUUUCCUAACUCAACUCUUGGCCUCUAGUCUUGUCACCCCACCCCACCCCCACUCCAAUCUCUUUUCAUACUCCUGCCAGAGUGAUUUUUUUUUUUUUGAAGCAGGGUCUCACUCUGUUGCCCAGGCAGGAGUGCACUGGCAUGAUCUCGGCUCACUGCAACCUCCACCUCCCCAGCUCAAUUGAUCCUCCCACCUCAGCCUCCCAAGUAGCUGGGACCACAAGUGUCGCCACCAUGCCUGGCUAAUUUUGUGUAGAGAUGGGGCUUCACCAUGUUGCCCAGGCUGGUCUUGAACUGGGCUCAAGUAAUCCGCCUGCCAUGGCCUCCCCAAGUGCUAGGAUUAUACUUGUGAGCCACUGCACCAGGCCCAGAGUGAUACUUCUAAAACACAAAUCUGAUUGGUAAUCUCUGCAUAAAAUACUUUAAUGGCUCCCCAUUACCCAUGGGAGAGAAUCCAAAAUUGUGAGCUGGAAAUCACAUCAUGAUCUGCCUCUCUCAGAGGGCUUCCCUCCUUUAUCCAUGUUUAAUCUGAAGUUUUAAUAAAAUAGUCAGAUGCUUGCAUCUAAUUAUAGUGAAUAUGUUUGUACUUAAGAUAAUCAAGAUGAGAAGCUAUUCCAUACCAAAAAAAAAAAAAAAAACCAACCCACAAGAUCAUGAAAAAUCAGACAUAUGGUACAGGUAGAAUCUAGAAUAAAAAUUAGUUUCAGGAUAAAUAAUAACAGACCAGAGUUUCUUGGUAUUGAUUAGAGAAAGAAGGUGAUAACCUUAAUUGUAUUAGGGCUAGCAUGACAAAAUAAAUAAUAGAUUACUAAUAUAUAAAAUGUAUAUAUUUUUCACAGGUGAGUUUGGCUUUCAUUUUGACUAAGUCAUAAAGCCUACAAGAAGGUUAGAAAAGGAAACUAUUAUAACAGACUAUAGAGAAGUUGUGUGAUAACCCCUUGAAAAGACAAUUUCAACAUAUAACUUUUAUACAUAAACGUAUUAAUGUGCUAUAAUCAUUUAACAAUAUAUAGGAAAGAUUUUUUUUUUUUUUUUUAAGAUGGAGUCUCAGUCUGUUGUCCAGGCUGGAGUGCAGUGGCG
rnacentral:lncRNA from 1 species